rnacentral:rRNA from 1 species
CCCUUAGAUGUCCUGGGCCGCACGCGCGCUACACUGAUGCAUGCAACGAGUUUAUAACCUUGGCCUGAAAGGUCUGAGUAAUCUUUUGAACGUGCAUCGUGAUAGGGAUAGAUUAUUGCAAUUGUUAAUCUUGAACGAGGAAUUCCUAGUAAACGCGAGUCAUCAGCCCGCAUUGAUUACGUCCCUGCCCUUUGUACACACCGCCCGUCGCACCUACCGAUUGAAUGGUUCGGUGAAGAUCUCGGACUUCGAUAUUUAUUCUUUAUUGAGUUUAUAUUGUGGGAAGUUAUCUAAACCUCAUCAUUUAGAGGAAGGUGAAGUCGUAACA